UACGUAGGGUGCAAGCGUUGUCCGGAAUUAUUGGGCGUAAAGAGCUCGUAGGCGGUUUGUCGCGUCGGCUGUGAAAAACUCGGGGGCUUUAACCCCCGAGCCUGCAGUGGAUACGGGCAGACUAGAGGUAGGUAGGGGGAGAAUGGAAUUCCCGGUGUAGCGGUGAAAUGCGCAGAUAUCGGGAGGAACACCGGUGGCGAAGGCGGUUCUCUGGGCCUUACCUGACGCUGAGGAGCGAAAGCGUGGGGAGCGAACAGG
rnacentral:rRNA from 1 species